AAUUUAAUAUAAAAAUGAAAAUUAUCCUUAUUAACAAGGCAAUUCGAUGUAACAUACAUAUGCAUGCUCAGAUGUUAUUCGCCGUUUAUCAGAUGCAACGCUCAACUCUGUGAAAAAAUAACCUAACCGCAAAACAAUAAAUGCAAUAAAUCAAUUGAGUACGGUAAGACGGCUGAAUUGUUGAUUAUUCUGUUUUCAUAUGCUUAGAAAUAUAAGAACAUAUGAACAGAAAGCAAGAAAACGAUAUAAAAGUGUGCUAAACGAAUAGACAUAGUGCUAACGCUGCCAAAACAUUGGAUAGCUUCUAUUAAUUCAGUAUUAUUAUGCGCUCGUUACGUUAAACAUGUGUGUGUUAAAUUUUCGUUCGUUAUCAGUGAUAUACUAUCUAUAAUUGUCAGUGCGCACCGAUAACACUUCGCGGCUAAAAACGGCUCAGAAAUACGAUUACAUUAUAACGCUGACUAAAUAUCAGUAUUUCAACUAACAUGGACGAAGUAUUUUCAUUACAUUUAGGAAAACUCGACAUAUUUGAUGUCUUCUUCCUCGCUGGCAUUUUAUCUUUGGUUAUACUAUUUUCAAUUUGAAAACGUUAAAAGCACUAACCAAUAUGGACAAAAUAAUAAAUUUACAAUCGAAUACAAAUCACCAACACCAAAUGAAAAUACGCAGCAAAACUUACAAUUGUGAAAUACCAGGAUGAAAACGUCAAGCCAAAGAAAAAUAGCAGAAAUAAAGAAAACGUCAAAAAAUUUUACAGGGAUGCAUGCAGUGUAUUAACAGUUAUGUUCACACACUGAAGGGAGAAUAUUUGAUUUCUUAGGAAAUAAAUAUGUAUGUUAAUUUUAGUUUUUAAUGUAAACUUAUUUUAAAUGUUUUACGGUGUUUAGGCGACCAGUUAACAAAUCGUCUUUAAUUCUAAAAUUAGAUAUGUAACUGCUCCUAUGGGUUCUUAUUUUGUCCUAAUUAUGUCACUUUUAUUUAAAAAAUGAGACUGAUGAGUAGAAAAAAAUCCAAUAAUUCAGAUGUGUUAAUACCAAAGUAUAGUUUUAUGAGUGGCCUAAGCAAAACAAAUGAAAUAAAUAUGGGUUGAAUAUAAAAAAUAA
rnacentral:lncRNA from 1 species